rnacentral:rRNA from 1 species
GAUGAACGCUGGCGGCGUGCCUAAUACAUGCAAGUCGAGCGAACAGACGAGGAGCUUGCUCCUCUGACGUUAGCGGCGGACGGGUGAGUAACACGUGGAUAACCUACCUAUAAGACUGGGAUAACUUCGGGAAACCGGAGCUAAUACCGGAUAAUAUAUUGAACCGCAUGGUUCAAUAGUGAAAGACGGUUUUGCUGUCACUUAUAGAUGGAUCCGCGCCGCAUUAGCUAGUUGGUAAGGUAACGGCUUACCAAGGCAACGAUGCGUAGCCGACCUGAGAGGGUGAUCGGCCACACUGGAACUGGGACACGGUCCAGACUCCUACGGGAGGAAGCAGUAGGGAAUCUUCCGCAAUGGGCGAAAGCCUGACGGAGCAACGCCGCGUGAGUGAUGAAGGUCUUCGGAUCGUAAAACUCUGUUAUUAGGGAAGAACAAAUGUGUAAGUAACUAUGCACGUCUUGACGGUACCUAAUCAGAAAGCCACGGCUAACUACGUG